UAUACUUACAUAAGUAUACAUACUAUUUAUCUAGGUCAUAUGCUUCUUCAAGCGAGGUUUUCAACGAGAAACGUCCGUUGGCCAGUGUCCAUGAGUGAGCCAGUAUAUAGAAAAAAUCCCUAACUAAAAAAAAGGAGACGGCUGAUCCGAAAAACUCGGUACGUUGGAAUUGGCUCGAACUACAUCAAUUCAAAACGAACUCAGUAUUACAUAGGCACAUAGGCGUGCCGAAAAUAAAGCAUUCGUCUCGAGUAAUCGUGUGGAGAAGCUAUUUUUCUGUAGAAUAAUCUAAUGUGUUCCAAUAAACCACGUAAAGUGUUUCGCAUAAAAUUUAAUUCGGUAAUAUAUUGAAA